rnacentral:rRNA from 1 species
UUGACGGGGCCCGCACAAGCGGUGGAGCAUGUGGUUAAUCGAUGCACGCGAAGAACCUUACAAGGCUUGACAUACACCGGUAACGCCCAGAGAUGGGUGCCCCUUUGUGGUCGGUGGACAGGUGGUGCAUGGUUGUCGUCAGCUCGUGUCGUGAGAUGUUGGGUUAAGUCCCGCAACGAGCGCAACCCUCGUCCUAUGUUGCCAGCGGGUCAUGCCGGGGACUCAUGGGAGACUGCCGGGGUCAACUCGGAGGAAGUGGGGAUGACGUCAAAUCAUCAUGCCCCUUAUGUCUUGGGCUUCACGCAUGCUACAAUGGCCGGUACAAAGGGCUGCGAUACCGCGAGGUGGAGCGAAUCCCAGAAAGCCGGUCUCAGUUCGGAUUGGGGUCUGCAACUCGACCCCAUGAAGUCGGAGUCGCUAGUAAUCGCAGAUCAGCAACGCUGCGGUGAAUACGUUCCCGGGCCUU